rnacentral:misc_RNA from 1 species
GUAGGUGAACCUGCGGAAGGAUCAUUACAAAUCCAUCCACGUCUCAUAUUGAGACCACGUUGAAAUGUUCCCCGGAGCCGCUGUCCCCUCUGUGCGCGCCAGCUUGUCUGGCCGCCCUUAGGAGGCAUGCUCUGGGCUGUUAAACUAGUCAUCUCUGUUGCUCAAAUGUAUCUUGAUUUCAAUCAAACGAAAACUUGUACAACUUAUAACAAUGGAUCUCUAGGCUCUUGCAUCGAUGAAGAACGCAGCA